CGGGGAAUGUACCAGGUGCUGCUUCAUUGUGUGUCCCGCCAAACCUAACGCUAUCGCCACAAAUCCGCCGAUCAUGUAGAUUGGCGCCAUAUCCGCCGUCAUCGCCAUCCUGCAUUUUCACUACUUAUCAAUGCUGUUUUUGUUUUUCCAACAGUUGAGAAAAUCGAACCAAACGCAUUAUAAUUAUUAGUUCUUACUUUGAUGACUGAACAGAUGAAGUGGCCGAUGAAGAGGCAAAGGAUCGGUUGUAUCCUGAUUGAGAGACCAGGGUUCGCAGACGAUUCUGAAAAAAUUACUUGAAACAUUUGUUAGUAUAAUUAGAUUGACAAUAUAUCCUCCAUGAAUGAUGAAGAAAUGGAAGAACGCACCAUUAACCUAAAUGCCAUUUCUCCACGAAUUUCUGGAAGAAUAAUUAGUUUUUAAUUUUUAAAUAAUCAAGAUUCAAAGCU
rnacentral:lncRNA from 1 species